rnacentral:tRNA from 1 species
GUGUGUAGCUCAGUGGUAGAGCACUUGCCUAGCAUGUGCCAGGCCCUGGGUUCCAUCCUUAGCACCACA